CAAGUUAUACGUUGUUCAACAUUCUGCCUCACACAUAUCAAAUUUCAAAACUGAUAAGCAUAAGCAUGGCUCUGCACGGUUUUAUUGGGACUCAAAUAGAACUCAAGUCACCUGCUGAUAAGUUCUACAAAAUCUUCAAGGGCCAAGCCCACCUCAUCCCAAAUGUUUCUUCUGGCCAUAUCAAAGGCGUUCAGGUGCAUGAAGGAGAUUGGGAAACGCACGGCUCUGUUAAGAUCUGGAAUUAUCAUCUAGGUAAUUAAGUAACUAUAUGGUGAACCCACUUAGGACAAGUUUAAUUAUUUUCCGUUUCGCUGUUAACUAUAUCAUAUGGGUAUGAAAAAGACAUCAUUAGAUGAGCUUAUAUAUAUAUUUUUUGUUAUGAAAUAAAUGUGACAGGGGACGAAGUUGGGACUUUCAAGGAAAAGGUCGAGUACGACGACGAGAACAAGGCGGCAACUCUGACUGGAUUGGACGGAGAAAUGUUCAAGUAUUACAAGAGCUUUAAGGGCAUCUAUCAGUUCGCUCAAAAGGGUAAUGUUAGUGUUGCCAACCUGACGAUUCACUAUGAGAAACGGAAUGCUGAUGUUGAAGCUCCAGAUAGAUUUGUUGGUCUCAUGGUUACCCUCGUCAGGGAUCUUGAUGCUCACUUUGCCAAGGCAUAAUCGAAUAUCAAAAGCAUACAUAUGUUAAUGCGUGCUUUUUCUGGUUAAUAUUAUAAGUAAUGCUUUGUUUUAUGUAAGUUUUUCUUUGUGGCAAGUGCAUGAAGGGAUUUCAUAUGUGAUAUAUUGUGAUGUAUUAGCUAUGUGGGUUAUCACAUACAUAAAAUAAAAUGCGUGGUGUGCUAUAUAUAUAUAUCUCCAGUUCUUGCUCAUCAUUCACAUAUCAAGUACAAAAUAGACUUAAAAAUCAACAAUAUCCAACUGGUAUAUGUUGCGCGCUUGGAUUCAAAGUACUUAAAAGAUCAAAAAAUUUGAAGUAUGUUGCGUGCUUGGAUUCGAAUUUUACAUUGAACACUUAGCCUUGUUGAUGAAAAAGAAACAAGCUAAAAGUAGUAAAAACGUAGUAGAAGCAGCUGGAAGCUCUUUCCUUCAUCAUUUGCACUCUCCUUUUCCCUCUUCAUCUCUCUCCUUCUUUAUCUCUCUGCCCUUCUUCCUUGUGAAUUUGCUGGUUUACUUUAAUAUUAACGAAUCUACAUAAAGAAAAGAAGGUGUUGCUGGAUGCGACGAAUGAAGGAUAGAUUCCACAAAAAAAAAAAGUUUUCACGUUCUUCCAUUCCAUAAGCAACACUGAAAAAUGCUCUAAUAAUUUUUGGACGAAACUCUCAUGACAACUUAAUCCAAAGCGUUCUUCCAUUCCAUAAGCAAUACUGAAAAAUGCCCUAAUAAUGUAUGGACGAAACUCUCAUGACAACUUCAUCCAAAGCAAACACAACUCAACCCAGCCGGCAGUGCAAUAAGCACCCAACCCAACCAGUCAAACCCUAAACCAGCACAGCAUCCUUCCCCUCAAAACCCACGACGUAAGUAACGUAAUUAAAUUCAUCUCUGUUGAUUAAUGGGAAGCGUAGGUCUUGCUUGCUGGAGGAUGGGAACAACACACACACACACACCAUUUCUAUAUUUAAUUAAUUUGGUCAUUAUUCAGUUGAAUAGCCCAUUUACAAAUAAUAAUAAUUUGACAGAUAAUGUGAAUUUGGAAACUAAAUUAUUGAUCUUUUAAAUACAUUAAUUUAUUUUUUUAUAUAAAAAAUAAAUAAAGGCAAGUGCAAAAGGUAUCUAUCAUUCUCGAAGUUUUUUACGCCACCUGCCUUAUUAGUGCAAAAGGUAAUUUUAAAAUUUGGAAAUGGGAGUCGGUGUGACUUUUGAAGAAAGAACGAAAACCCAAAGGGGAAAAAGUUAUACAUUAUUAUAUGCGUACCAUAAAUAAUGCAUGUGUGACUGAUCAAUCGAAGAUCUAAAAUGUUUAUUUUAUUAAAGAGUUGUCGAAUUUGACAAGUGUGGAUCAUCCCUGUCUGCCCAUUUGAUAAUUUCUUAUUGCCAAAUAGUUAAUAAGCAUGGGCUGGGAUAGGUCUGCAUAAUUAGAUUUGAUGAGGAUGAAAGCAAUAAUUGAGUUUUCGUUGAUUUUACAUCUCAGAAAGGUUACUCAUCUCUCGUAGUUUUUGCACUUUUAUAAAUGUGAAUCUUAUAAAGUAUUAUAACUCAUAACCAUUUUUCUUUUGUAGGCUUGAAGAUCUGGCAUUGCAUGCAUGAACACAUUUUCCGAUGUGUAUAUGAAUUGAAGAUCUCGCGUUGCAUGCAUGUACACUAACUAUGAAUUGAGAGAGUUUUUCUUCGGACAGUUGUCCAGCAUUCACUUUACCUAAUCAGGGAUUAGUAAAAUCCAAAUGAAAAAGAUGUGAUCAUUGAAAAGGUAAAUAUUUUUUAUUCUAAAAGUUCAAAUGAUUAGUUGAGAUAUAACCAUAUCAAAUACAAUAUUUUUCCCUAAUAGAAGAUUAGGGCUAAUAUUUGUCCUGCACCCGGUGAUGAACCGAAAGUAAUUGCACUUGUUCAUGGAUGUUGACAGCUAGCAAUAACACUCUUCUUACCAAAAAUAUUUAUAAAAAGAAAAAAGGUCUGUUUUUAUAUAAAAUCAACGACGGUUUUUACAAAAAAAAUCGUCAUCUUUAUAUUAAAAUAAUGACUGUUAUUAAUAAAAUCGUCGUCUUUACAAAUAAACAAUAACAGUGAAAACUCGUCAUAAUUGAUGUCAGUCGAUUUAACAACGGUUUUCAAAACAUCAUAACGACCGUGAAUCCUGUCGUCUAUUUCGUUUUGUUUACUUGAAAACUUGAAAUACCAUGUAAAAGAGCGAUAGGCAAACCUUUAUUUGGUCGUAUAUACAUAUUGCAAUUAGUGGCGGAUUCGGGAUUCAAAAGUCAAAUAGGCGAAACUUACCUUAAAAACUUGACGGUACGAGUGAAUUUUAUGCAUAAAAAUAAAAAGAUACACCUAAUCAGGGAGGACGUAAUGAGCCUUACCCUCAAAUAUGCAUAUCUAUACAUAAAUAAAAGCUUAACAAAAAAAGAAGAAGUAAAUGCAAUGCAACACAAAACAAAACUAUUUAAAUCUAAAACUUUACCCUACGAGGCUUAGAAAUCUUAAAUUCCUCAAUUAUAUCUUCAUUAUCAAUAUUAUUAACAAACUCUCUUUCAAUGUGGAGAAUCAUGCAAUCAGCAAGGAAUUCAUCAGCUAUGGUGCUCCGAAGUCUAUUCUUAAUAAUUCUCAUACAUGAAAAAGCUCGUUCUGUUGUUGCUGUAGAAACAGGAAGAGUCAACACCAAUUGAAUCAACCUAUAAAGCAAAUGAUAGUUUUUUGCCAAAGUUGUUUCCGCCAAUUGUUGACAUAACUGAGGAAGAGUGGUGAGGUCCUUAAAGCAGGGAAGGCGAUGCAUAUCAUUUUGAAAAUACCUCAACUCAAUUUUUAAAGUUUUCAAGUCACUUGGACAGAAAUCAGCGGGAUAAAAUUUCUUAGCAAGUUUACAUAGAUGCCCAAUAGUGAAUGAUUUGAAGGAAUUACAAGGAUCCAAUGCUGAGUUAAGAAUAAGAAGUUCAAUUGUUUGCUUUAGAAAUCUGUCAUUUAACUCCCUCAACAUGCAAUCUAUCACAUCAUUAAAUACAUCAACGCGAUAGUAAUGUUCAACUAUAAUAAAAUCUUUUUGUUGACAAGAACGACGUGUAGCCAUCAUAUAACGAAAACUCAUAUUAGGAACAUCAAUACUGUGUUGUUCACAAAAUGAUACCACACUCAUGAAUAAAUCAUCCCAACCAUGUGCUCUCAUAUCUCAUAACUGUGAUUUUGUGUUUUCAACAAAGUUUAAAGCACUUACAAUAUCUUGAGUUUUUGUUUGAAACACUUGACAAAGAAAGUUGGUCAAUCCCAUAAUUUUAUCCAUUAAAAGAAAUGAAAACACAAACUCAAAAGACAUAAUAGCAAUAUAGUUAUUCUCUGCAUUGCCACGAAAUUGUUGGUUAGGUCCAUAAUCACUGAAUUCCUGGAUAAGUGUUUUAGUCUUUUUAAAUAAACUCAUCAAACUUGUAAUAGAGGCAAAGUGAGAUCCCCAACGAGUGGCUCCAGCUCGUUUCAAACUACGACCUUGAUUAAGUCCUCUACUUGUCUCAAGUUCCCCACAAUCCAACAACUCUUUGAGUUUAGCUUUUUGAAUUAAAUUAGCUCAUUACGGCGCUUAGCAGAAGCACUAACAAAAUUCACAAUGUUAGUCAACAUUGAAUACAACUUUCACAUACUUAUAUUGCUUUUUAUUGUUUUUCUUAAAGGAGAAAGUUUGAGUGGGCUGGGCUAUUGUUUUUGUUAAAGGGAAAAAUUUGAGUGGGUUGAGUUUGAGUAGGGAGAAGAAAUUUGAUUGUAUUGGGUAAUUUUUGGUUUGGCAAAAAAUGGAGUAAGCGGCUGCCUAUUCUGCCCUUAGGGUAGGACCACCCUUGGUGGAUUGAGUUUGAGUAGGCAAAAGAAAUUUGAUUAUAUUGGAUGUUGGGUAAUUUUUGAUUUGGUAAAAAAUGAAUUAGGCCGCUGCCUACCCUGCCCUUAGGAUAGGACCGCCCCUUGCAAUUAUUACGUUAAUAUGAAUUCAUAUAAAAUAUAUUUUCAAUAAUUUAUAUAAAAUAAUUGUGUUGAUGUGUUUCAUGUGAUUCAUGAAGUAUGCAUGUUUCAAGCACUAUAUUUUUAAAGUUAUCCAAUAAAUUAAUAAAUAUUGCACCAUUUAGGUGUCGUCACUCAGACUCUCACUUGUAUUUAAGGGGAGCCCAAAUUAUGUUCAUUAACAUUCUGCCUUGUACACACGUCGAUCGCUACUUAUACUUAAUUCUGAGUAUCAUCACAACAACAACUGAUAGACAUGGCGCCUCUGAAAGGUAAGGUUGAGACUGAAAUAGAAAUUAAGGCACCAGCUGAGAAGUUCUACAACAUCUUCAACAGCCGGGCACACCACGUCCCAAACAUUUCUCCUGGCAGCAUUCAAGGAGUUCAGGUGCAUGAAGGAGACUGGAAAACACAUGGCUCUAUUAAGAGUUGGAAUUACACAGUUGGUAAGGUCAUCUAUAUACAUGUUACAUGUAGCGAGUGUACAUCUUUAAUUCCCUACCUAACAAAAUACAAUUAUGUCUUGUGAAAUAGGGGACGAAGUCGGGGUAUUCAAGGAAAAGGUGGAGUACAACGAUGAGAACAAGUCCAUAACUCUGAAUGGGGUGGAAGGAGAUGUCUUCAAGUAUUUCAAAAGCUUUAAGCCUGUCUAUCAAUUCACUCAAAAGGAUGAAGGCAGCAUUGCGACCUUGUCGAUUGCAUAUGAGAAAUUGAAUGACAAUGUUGCAGCUCCAGACAAGUACGUUGGUUUGAUGGUAAAUAUUGUCAAGGAUCUUGAUGCUCACUUUAUCAAGGCAUGAGGAAAAACAUGCAACGGUGAAAAGAGCUACGUACUGCUUGCUGGUUCAUCGUUAAAGUUCAUGAAUUAUAUUAUCGUGUUAAUUAAUGCGUGCUUUGUUUAAUUACAAGUAGUUAAAAAAUGCUUUGCUAUGUAUUUGUGUCAAGGGGAUGUCAUAUGUGAUAUUGUGAUGUAUUAACUAUGGUUAUCACAUAUAUAAAAUAAAAUGAGUGGUGUGCUGAUGUGUCCAGUUUUUGCUCAUCAUUCGUUAUAUCAACCACAAAUAGCCUUAAUACUUAACAAUUAUAACAAGUUACAACCCAACUGGUUUGGACGAAAAUGUUCAAUUAACUAUUUACCCCAAAAGAUAAAAACUAAAAAUAUUUAAUGUGAUAGGAACUUCCAUUACUUCGGUUUGCCAAAAUACAAUUGAUGUUUCAACAAAAGAAAAGAUUGAUUGAUGUUAUAGUCUGAUAACUAUGGUUAUCACAUAUACAAAAUAACAUGAGUGGUGUGAUGCGUCCAGUUUUUGCUCACCAUUCGUUAUAUCAAACUACAAAUAGCCUUAAUACUUAACAAUUGAAAAACAUUGAAAAAAAAAGAUUGGGGAUAAUUAUUGGACAAAGCCAAAGCUGAAUUGCGGAGAAGUCUUCCAAUUUUAGUUUGCAGUUUCCAUCUAAUGCAUUUUUUAUUUGCUUCAUGGUGUGACUGGCACUCAAAUAGAGCCUCCAUAAGUUCUAAGACUCGGUUGAAAUAUCCCAUUUUGCAUGUAAUGUCUACAACACAUUGUGGCGUUAAUUAGUUGGAUUGAUCUAAGUUUUUGUGUACUCCCAAACAGUCAUGAGUUUAAAUUCUUAAUUGUAAUUGUGUGUGUAAGUUUCCCCCUCUCCAAUGGCAGAGUCAGAAAAUCUAUCAAAAGAGGUCAACCUCAAAUGACAAGAUUAACACAAAAAAAAAAAAAAAAAAUCAUCUGAUAAUAAAAUCCUUUGUAUUAAUUUCUAUAUCAUUCCAAAAUAUUUACAACAGAGCAUAGGUUGUACAUCUUCAAUUUGAAUUGUCAUGCUUUUGAGUUUGUUUUCUAGGGUAAGAUGUCAUGCUUUUAGAUUUAGGUAAGUAGGUUAAUAAUUAUUAAGUUAUUACAAAUAAAGAAAUAAUUAAAAGGGUAAGUAGCAUAAGUUUGGGACAUGGGACACAAAAUAUUUCAUCUUUAUUUUUAUAGUUUUUUCGCCAAGUAAGAUGGUGAGAAGGGUCAAAUUUCAGAAAUACUGUAUAAAAAAAUCAAGUACAAACAUGUAAAAGAUCAAAUAUGCAAAACAUGAGAAGGGUCAUUUGACCACUGUGUUGAUGUGAGUCUCCUAAUUAAUCAAUGAGAUUUUAUUUCCUUGAUUAAUUAAGGAAUUUACUUUUUUAUUUUAUAUAGUUAAUUGUAUAAUUAGGAGAUACUAUCCUAAUUGAUUACUGUAUCUAUUUCCUUGUAAAACACUCAUGUAAAUUCAUAUAUACCUCCUUAUGGAGAAGAAUAAAACUUAACAUAAAGUUUUCAAACUAUAUUCAUAUUUUAGCAUGAUAUCAGAGGAAUCGAUCAUAGGUUGUCUCUAAACCUUCAUAUAAUUUCUCAUAUUCAAAUCCAAAACCCUAAAUCAAAUUCCUCACAACCAAAUCCCUCAACUCUAAAGUCCUCAAAUCCUCUUAUCAAAAUUCCUAAACACAUACCCUCAAACCUCUCAAAUCAAAUUCCUAUAUAAAAUUCAUACGUAAUAUUCCUCAAAUCAUAUUCCUUCAAUCAAAUUCCCCAAUCAAAUUCCUCUCAUUCUCAUAUUACAUCUUACUUUCGCUGAAUUGUCAGGACCCCCUACGAUUCUGUCCCUUAUUGUAGACUCACAUAAGCAUGCGAUCAAUCCUACUAACCCGACUACCCGGACUCGUGCUUCUAUCGCCAUCCCGAAAGGUUUUGGUUUUCAUACGUACUCUCAAAAAUCCGCAUGGAUUAUUGACUUGGGUGCUACGGAUCACAUGACAUUUGAUCCUGGCCAACUUAUUAGUCAUAAAUCAUUCACUCUAUCGGUGGUGUCUAAUGCUAAUGGUACCUCUUCCUCUAUGGUUGGGGAGAGCUCUCUAUCUCUCUCUACUUCCCUACAUCUGGAUUCUGUAUUAUGUACCAUCCCACAUCUACUAACGGAGAGGGAGUGAUGUGCCUUAUAUGUACAUGCCCACCUCCAUCUAGCACGAGGCAUUUUGGGAGCUCAUUGGCUUCGGAGUCAUGAGAACUCCGAAGUUAAGCGACUUGGGGCUAGAGCAAUCCCAGAAUGGGUGACCCACUGAGAAGUUGCUCGUGACAAUUAAUUGUUCCAUCCUUGGACCACAACUUAUUGUCUGUUGCACAACUUACUACUACUCUAGGGUGUACUGUAAUAUUUUGGUCGAAUGAUUGUGUUUUUCAAGACAUCCUCAUGGGAAAGACGAUUGGUUAUGGUACUCGGUGGGGCAAACUGUAACACCCCGACUCCAAAUUAAAUUCCCUAUUUAAAUUAUUUAAUUUAAUUACAUAUGAAAUUACGAAUUUACCCUUGGGGUAGGGGUAUUUUGGUUAUUUUCUUAUACAAAGAGAUUUUGGGGGUAACAAAUGGUAUUUUUAGGUAGAUCGUACUGAGAUGAGUCUGUAGACACGUAGUGGACUCGAAUCGGAGUUGUAACGAAGAAGUUACGAUCAAAACAAGUUCAAUGGUAUAACCGUAAUUUCCUCGAAGUUGGUUUGAUAAAAAUCUGAUUUUUGUCUCUCUCUCUCUCUCUCUCUCUCUCUCUCUCUCUCUCUCUCUCUCUCUCUCUCUCUCUCUCUCCAGUGCGAAUCCCCCUUCCGCGUCAAACAACAGCAGCGGUUUUUCCACCACCAUUGCUGCCACACGCCACCAUUUGAGGUGGCACUAGUCCUAAAACGACCGGCUGGUCUUCCUCUUUCAACCCUAGCCAAGCCCCGCUACCAGCAGCCGCGCGAUUCUCCAGAAUCUACAGAAAUAGCGUCGGUUUUUCUAAAAAUUUAAAUCGCUCAUUCUCUCUCAAUUCUCCACCAAUUUUGUCGUGUAAGGUAUAGAUUUCCACCUAUUGUCCAUGAUCUAGCUGAUGGUUAGGUAUGAAUUUAUCAAUUUUGAGCCUACGUAGUUUGAUUUUCGAAUUGGAUUUCGGCCAAUUUUGGGAUCACGAUUUUAGCCACUUCCGGUCACUUUUUGGAGUAGGCCCAAGAACAAAAGUGACUCUAAAUAGGGUGUUAUACCUAGAGUAGGAGUCUUGAGCCGUAAUUUUGAAUAUUUCUGGUAAAUCAUUAUCGCUUUGGACACCCACGCACUGUUGGUACGUGUGGCGCGCGUGGGCAAUGUAGCAAAAUGGGCAUUAUGUCCCGAUGUGAUCUCCUGGUACUCACGAGCGCGUAAGUACUUUCGGAUUCCAAUUUGAUUAACGUUUGAACAUCGAACGAAUUUCGCCUAUUGUGCAUUAUCACGGUUCGAUAUGUUCGAAUUGUUGGAUCGUCUCAAAUUUAAUAUAUGUUACUCUAGACUUUCCUAGGAUCGUGUAAGAAUUCGCAGAUCAUGAAUCGGAGUCCCGGAUGUUCCGAUUCAAUAACUUAAAGUUUGCAUUUUACGAUAAACGUCCGAUCGUGAGCGAUCAAACCGUCCGUUUUGGACCAAAUUUACAAGACGUGUGUUCUAAACCUUGUGAACCUUUAGGAACUUAUUGUCUCGUUCCUCAUACACUCACUAGAAACCCUGGAAACUAGGAUUUUAAUUCAAUGUUAUCGUUCAAAACGCUUUGUGUUAAUCUCGUAUUCGUAUUCUGAAAUAGGUACUCCGACCACGUAUACGCAGCAGGCGGGACCCUCUCAGGGUCAAGUAGCGUGGGACUACCUGUGAGUGGACUUUGUUUUCAAAUCUUAUGCAUGAUUUUAUGAUGGGAGAAAGUAUGCAUAGUGUUUUAAUGGUGUAUUGGAUAUAUUAUUUAUUCAAUUGUUGAAAUUGAUAUUUUUAUGACGCAUUGGCAAUAUAUUUUGGGUUUUGACAUAUUUGAGUAUCUUGAGUAUGUAUAUAUGGAUUUUGAGAAAUUCUAUCUAUAAUUGUCUAUGUGUGGGGUAUUUGGGUUGUUGAGAUGAGAUUGUAGAAAGAAUUGAGUAUAGAAUGUCAAUUUGGAAUCCUAUAAGCACUACCCUAUGUACCUCCCUGAAUUUGGAACUUGGAUACGGAAACUUGAGAUACUUGGAAAUGUUGGAACCCGGGGCAUCCUUGACGGGGUGUUGCUGUGGACCCUUGAUUGGGUAGUUUGCGCGCGUAGGACUGGUCACAGACGUACCAGUUUUGAAGGUGUCGGCCGCACGUGCUGGCUGAGAGUUAGUCCCCUAGUUGGACGGCUCAUUCCCUAGCCACAUGGUCAAUUGAUGAAUUAUUUUAUGUGGGCUCUUCCAUGUGGACUAGUCAAACAAUCCCCCGGUUGGAUUGUUUUCCCGGUACAACUAGGUGAUUGUCAUAUUUAUAUUAUAUAUAUAUAUACAACUAUUCAUUUGUUCUUGUUUCUCGAUGAGGAUACUUCCUUACCGGUCGUGCCAAUGGGUACGCUUUCAAGAGUUUAGUUUUUGGGACUUAUUAUAUUUAAGUGGUGGGUUUGUAAAGUGUUCUUUAUGGAUUUCAGACUUGGCAUCCGGUAUUGAUUUAACUUGAUAUGUAUAUACUUGACUAUGAUGGUUUUGGGAUGCAUUUGGAUUUCUUUCAUGGUUUUCUAAAUGGUGGGGGUUAUAUUAUGUUGGUUUACACUGAACUGAACUUUAUUUUUGUCCACUCACAGUUUUCUGUUUUGCGCCCCCCAGCCAGUAGUUGAUUGAGCUCCACAGCCGAGCCGGAUUGUGUGCUUCUAAAUCUUGAGUCUUCGUAGGACUCUUUCAUCAUGUUAUUCCCGUUGAACUUUGUUUUUGUUGUAAUCAAAUUUUCUUAGAUAUGCUCUGUUAUCGCCCGUGCUAGGGUUUGAUUUUUGAGGCCGGAGGCCUUUGUUGUAAACUGUUUAUUCGCCUUAAAGCAUGUUGCUGGUUGGGAUAUCAAAUUGUGAAUUUUGAGCAGGUUGAAAUUUGGGAAAUGUUCAAUUUGCAGGGGCGACUCUGUCAAAAUUUUGGUAGGAAGUCUCUGUCUUUAGUAAGUGGGCCCGACAUCUGGGUGAUAUCGAAAAUAAGUGGGCCCGACAUCAGAGGAAAUCCGGGGUGUGUCCUGUCACAAACUCUACUACUUGGACUGGGCGCCGGAUAGUGUGACCAAGAUUGGUCAAGCUUUCACAACUAGUGGAACUCAUUCUGAGGGGGAGAGAGAUAAAGUUUGGUUAUGGCAUAAACGUCUUGGGCAUGCCUUGUUCUGUUAUCUUAAGAAGUUGUUUCCAUAAUUAUUUUUCAGUCUUGAUGUUCCUAACUUCCAGUCUGAUAUGUGUGAAUUGACUAAGAGCCAUCGUGUCCCGUUCCCAUUAAGUUCACAUAAAAGUUUGAUUCCGUUUUCUCUUAUUCAUUCUGAUAUUCGGGGACCUGCUAAAAUUGCCACUCUAGUAGGAGCCCGAUGGUUUGUCACGUUUAUAGAUGAUUGCACACGCAUGAUUUGAGUUUCCCAUCUCAAAACUAAAGAGGAAGUAAGUUUCAGGUUUCAACAGUUCCAUCAAAUAGUGUUUCAUGCUAGAAUUUAGGUUUUUCGUUCUGACAAUGGAGAAGAAUUUCUUAACCAUGAUCUUAACCAAUUCUUACAAGAUCAUGACAUCAUACAUCAAUGCUUAUGCCCUUACACUCCCUAAUAGAAUGGAGUGGCUAAAAGAAAGAACAUACAUUUCUUGGAAGUAGUUCAUGCCUCUCUCUUUGGCGCCAAUAUGCGUCGAUCUUUUUGGGGAGAAUCCAUCGUCUCUGUAGCAUACCUCAUCAAUCGGAUUCUCUCUAGUAUCAUAAAUUUUCAAACACCACUUCAAACACUUCACCACCAUAUCCAAAUACCAACCUGAAACCCCGGAUUUUCUGCUGUGUUGUAUUUGUCCACUUACAUGAUCACCAACGAAGCAAAUUGGAUCUUUGAGCCAAAAAGUGUGUUUUCAUUAGCUAUGUACCUCAUUAGAUAUGAUACCGGUGUUAUCAUCCUCCUAGUCAGAAUGUCUAUACCUCCAUGGAUGUUGUGUUCCGGGAACACGACUUAUAUUUUUCAGCAGCACAUGAGGAGAAUCGAGAAUCCACCACUCCUCAAAUUCUCUAUUUUUCCCCCCAAGAAGUCACUAUACUUCAAAACAACCGGUCACCCUCAUUUAGCUCUUCGAGCAUGGAGAAUUUGCUUCAAAAUGACCUGUUGUAAGAGGAAAGCGACCGGUCACCCCCUUAGUUCUUCAAACACGAAGAAUCUGCUUCAAAACUACAUGUCGCCAGAAAAUAGUGACUAGUCAUAAGAGGAAAAUGAUUAGUUGUCUCCAUGCUGUCAAACUCAGUAGGAGGAAAUUGAACCGUUUUUAAAAAAUGAGAUUUUGCCAGCUCCAAAGAAUUCUUCAACUCCAGUACCACACCAAUCACCUGUUGAGGAAGUCAAUUAGAUACCAUCUUUCCCUGAAACUGAUAACACUAAUGAAAUAUCCCACGAUGAUUUGAUUUCAGAAGGUACAAAGCCUACAUAUCAGCUUCUAGAAAGGAAGAACCGUGACAAACAUCGAAUACAAUAUGAAGCAUAUCUUAAAGCCAAAGGAAAAUACCCUAUCAAUAAUUAUAUAUCUUUUAGCAGAUUAACAGAGGCAUGUGUGCACUUUGUGAAACAGUUGACUGACAUAUCUGUCCUCAACAGUGUGACUGAAGCACUAGAAGACCCCAAAUGGAAAAAAGCCAUGAAUGAAGAAAUGCGAGCCCUCCAAAAGAAUGUCACAUGGGAACUCGUGCUCUUACAUCGUAGAAAGAAGACAGUAGGAUGCAUGUGGAUUUAUACUGUGAAAUUCAAAGCAGAUGGAUCCAUUGAAAAAUAUAAAGCUAGAUUAGUGGCAAAUGGGUACACAGAGAGAUAUGAGAUAAACUAACAGGAGACCUUUGCCCCAGUAGUCAAGAUUAGCACUAUCAAAGUCCUAUUAUCUCUAGCAGCAAAUCUCGAUUGACCAUUACAUUAGUUUGAUGUCAAAAAUGCAUUCUUACAUGGAGACUUGGAAGAAGAAGUAUAUAUGGACCUACCACCAGGAUGUAAUUUAGCUCGUGACAAGAAGAAUCAUGUUUGCAAGCUCAAAAAGUUAUUAUAUGGAUUAAAGCAAUAUCUUAGAGCAUGGUUUGACAAAUUUACUAAAUCUAUGAAGAAUUUUGGAUAUACACAGAGUAAUUCAGAUCACACCCUAUUCGUGAAGUGUGAUGGAAGAAGACUUACUGCAUUGAUUGUUUAUGUAGAUAAUAUAGUCGUAACUGGAAACGACAUCGGAGAGCAACUAAAGCUGCAAAAGUAUUUGUCUCGGGAAUUUGAGAUGAAAGAUUUAGGUGAUCUGAAGUACUUUCUUGGAAUUGAGGUAGUAAGGUCAAAUACUGGUAUAUUUCUGUCUCAAAGGAAGUAUGUAAUGGAUCUACUCACUGAAACAGGAAUGCUUGGGUGUAAGCCGGUUGACACAUCUAUUGAGAUGAAUAACAAGUUGUGUGAAGACAUGGACCAAUAACCAUCUAAUAAGGAACAGUACCAACGCUUCAUUAGAAGGUUGAUAUACCUGAUACACACAAGACAAGAUAUUGCAUAUGAUGUGAGUGUGGUUAGUCAAUUUAUGCAUUCACCCAGUGUUUUUCAUAAGAAUGCAGUUGAUCGGAUCUUAAGAUACUUAAAGUCAGCCCCUGGGAAAGGAUUAAUGUUCUCAAAAAAUGGAGAUCUUGAAGUUGUUGAAUAUACAUAUGCUGAUUGGGCUGGUUCCAUUACAGAUAGACGAUCUACUUAUGGUUACUUUACAUUCGUAGGAGGUAACCUAGUCACUUGGCGGAGUAAAAAAUAAAAUGUGGUUUCUCGGUCUAGUGUAGAAGCAGAGUAUCGAGGAAUGGCCCAAAGAGUUUGUGAAUUAUUAUGGAUUAGAAAACUCUUGACAGAAUUGGGCUUUGAGCUAGAAAAUCCACUAGAGUUGCAUUGUGACAACAAGUUAGCUAUCGAUAUUGCCCAUAAUCCAGUUCAACAUGAUUGAACCAAACAUGUUGAGGUGGAUAGACAUUUCAUCAAGGAAAAAAUUGAAAAUAAGAUCAUCAACCUACCAUUUGUAAAAUCAAAAGAUCAAUUGGCAGAUGUCUUAACAAAAGCUGUUUGUGGAAGAGUGUUUCAUGACUCAAUUACUAAGUUGGGCAUUGGUGACAUAUAUGCACCAACUUGAGGAGGAGUGUUGACGUGAGUCUCCUAAUUAAUCAAGGAGAUUUAUUUCCUUGAUUCUCAUUGAUUAAUUAAGGGAUUUACUUUCGUAUUUUAUAUAGUUAACAAAUCAUUGUAUAAUUAGGAGAUACUAUUCUAAUUGAUUAUUGUAUCUAUUUUUUUAUAAAGCACUCAUGUAAACUCCUAUAUAUAUCUCUUUAUGGACAAGAAUAAAACUUAACCUAAAGUAUUCAAACCAUAUUCAUAUUUUAGCACACUGUGAGCCUUAAUUGGCUCCGCCCACGCCCCUUUCCUUCCUAACUUUGACCCAAAAAAAAACAUACGAAUAUUAAAUUCUACGUUCUCAAAGUGGGUUAGUUCCAUGAAUCAAGUUCACUGAUAUACUCUAACUAAAUUAAGAAAUUAAAUUUGGUACGGUUUUGUUUGGGAUCCAAAAUUUAAAUUUGAUAGGUAUAGAUAGUACAUGUAUACCUACCAUGUUAACCAUUCUUAACCAAUUUAAUAAAUUUGAGGACUCAAAUUAUGAGUCUGUAUUGUAACAACCCGAUCCUAAAUUAAUAGUUAAACAUUAAAUUAUUCAAGGAAAAGACAAUUUUACCUUGGGAAUAUUGAAAUGAUUUAAGGGUUGACUUUUUAUUCGGGGGAGAUUAAAUUAUUAAAAUAAGAGAAAAUAAAUUGAAAUAAACAAUAAAAUAAAAUGAUUUGAAUUAAUUAAGGUUUUUGAAAAUUAAAGAUAUUAUUUAAUAUAAAAAGGGGUAAAAAGGUCAUUUUAAGUUCGAGAAGGAAUUUGGAAAUUCAAAUAAGACUGUUGCAUAGAGCACGUCGAGACGAGUCCUUAGACACGUAGUGGGCUUGAAUCGGAGUUGUAACGAAGAAAUGGCGAUCAAGAAUAGGCCAGUGGCAUAAUCGUAAAUAUUUCGAAGUUCAGUUUUUUAAAAACCCAGAAUUUCUUCACUUGGGCAGCCCGACCAGCCAAAUUCGGAUCGUGAUUUCUCCUAACCCCCGCCAUUGUUUCAAGCAAGACCGGUCCCAGAUGAACCACCACAUUUCUCUUUUCUAGUUCCAGCCCUUCGCCGCCUCAAUCUACCGUCGUAAUCGUCAGAAUCAGCCACGAAACAGACAGUUUUGGAUAGAUUUUUCUUAAACUUUCGCCGGCUGUUUCUCCCUCCUCUGGCCACCAAACAGGUUAAAUAAGGUAUUCUUUUCCACCUAUUUUUCGAGCUCUAGCUGAUGGUUGGGUAGGAUUUGAUCGAUUUGUAGCAUAGAUAACCCGAAAUACGAAUUGAAAUUUGGCCGAUUUUCAAAUUGAAAUUUCGGCAACUUCCGACCAUUUUUCGGGGUAGGUCCAAGAACAAAAGUGGUUCCAAAUGGGGUUUUACACCUAGGGUAGGAAUUUGGGCAGGCGUUGUGGCAUUUUUCGGCCACUGGAAUUUACUCACGACAUCCACGCGCUGCCGGCGCUUGCGGCGGCGCGUGGACCAGCCUUUGGACCGGCUUAGGGUUUCAGAAUGAUCUCCUGGUCCUCGUGAGCGUGUAGGUACUUUUGAAUUUCAAUUCAGACAACAUUUGAACACCGAAACGGAUCUCGCUUAUUGUGCGAUUUCUGGGUUUGAUACGUUUGAACCAUUGGAUCAUAGUCAAUUUCAUAUAUGUUAAUCUAGAUAAUUCCAGGAUCGAUAGGACUCGACGGAUCGUAAAAUGGAGUCCUGGAUACUCCGAAAAUGCCAACCCUAGGGCUAGGUUUAUAGUAAUUAUCCGAUUGGGCGAUCAUGGGUAACCCGACCUUUCGGUCAAGACCAAACUCUCGGGACAUGUGUCCUUGGCACAUUGGAACCUUUAGGGACUCCCGAAUUUGUGAUGGGAGGUUAUGGGCCCCGCGGGCUCGGUUGAUCAAGUUUAGGCAUUUGACCCCUCGGUUGACCAUGGGUCUUCUGAGGUAGUUUUAUCCUUCGAGAAAUGUUAGAACGACGGUGUAAACGGGUCCUGAUCGAAGACUGAGUCAUUAGGAUCAUAUCAUGGUUUUUCAAACCCACCACAAGGGUAUCCCGUAGUUGCUUUGAAAUAGUGUCAUUUAUAUAUAAUGUCCCAUGUGUUUCGGGGACUCCUGAAUUGUGUGGUGAGAGGAAUGCGGCUCAGGCUGACUAAUGGUCCCCUGAGGCUUACGAGGAUUGCACUCGAAUAGCAGUGAUAUCUCCGAGGCCUACGAGGAUUGCGGCUUGGAUAGAAGUGGUAUCUUCGAGGCCUGCAAGGAUUUGCUGCUCCGAUAGAAGUGGUAUCUCCGAGGCCUGCGAGGAUUGCGGCUCGAGUGGACUUGGUGUCUCUGAGGCCUGUGAGGAUGGAAUUGACGAAUCAGGAAUGGGGGUACGCCUAGGUGGAGAGAAUUUCAGUUUUGAGAUGUUCUUAAACUAAAAUAGAAGGAGUUCAGUGCAUGACAUAUUUAUAUUCAGUAUAUGAUUGAUACGAGUAUUGGGAAGUUACAAAGUAUUGCUUUAGAGUUGUGAAUACGAUUGAGUAUAACACACACAUGAGAAUUCAGUUUGAUUUGCAAAACACAUGGCAAUAUGAUGAAUGAAUAAGAUAUUCAAUUACAUUAUUAAAGGGAAAGAACUACCUGUGGCUUGAUCCCUCAGUAGGAGUACGUAGGCAGUCUAAUGUUAGAAGGUGCAGCCACGAGUUGGAGUCUUUGAGAUUGCUAAUGUACUAAUGGAUAUUUUGAAAGUUGAGAUGAACUUUAUUAGUAGAAUGAUUUAUUUGAUUGGUUGAGGCCAAAGGCCAGAAUGAUAUGAUAUUUGAUUUCUUGGAUAUAAUUUAAUGUUUGCUGAACAGUUGGGUUAUAUAUGUAUAUGCUUAUUUGAUAGGUGGAAGUUUUGGGGAAAUGAUCAAUUUACAGAGGAGACUUUGUCGAAUUUUCGGCAGAAGUCAAACUUAAGGAAAUUUGAUUUCUAGUUAGAAGGGCAAUUUGGUCAUUUGUGCCUGAUAUUUGUCAGGUUUCGGACACACACAGGGUUCGGCUUAGAUUCCAAAGUGAAAUUUGAGUCGGGUCCUAUCAUGUAUGGUUGGAGGAAAAAUAUUUUAAAUCCGGACAAUACAUGAAUAAUUAUAUUUUAAAGAGUGAAAAUUUGAGUUUAGUCCCAUCAUAGUUGGAGAUGACCUUACUUGUCUUCUCCGCACAUAUUGUGAAUCACAAUUUUUGUGGAAUCCCUUCUAUCAAUGGUAACACUGACAAAUCUCGAAAUACACCAACCCAGUUAUUAAACUACUCGACUAAACUGUUCGACUUCUCCCCAUAAUGCAUUCCUUUAAAAAAUGCGUUGGCAUAGUGAUCUCUAGACAAAUCAGAUAUAAAUGUCUUCACUUUCAAACUCCCGACAAUCACCAACUCAUAUAUUGCUACUUUAAACUCUUCCUCUGUAACAGCAUAUGCUCAUCUACUAAAUAGAUUGAUAACAUGGUCUUGGAGCAGUUUCCCAUAACUUGACUUCGGGUACUUUGAUAUCAAAUUUUGUUUGAGGUGAUAGUAACAGUAGGAAUGAGGCCAUCCAGGAAACACAGCCCCCAUUGCAUUUAACAAACUUUGAUUACAGCCCAAGAAAAAAGUCACCAUUCUCCCCAUCGGUGGCAAUAUAGCAACCAAAUGUUGAAGAAACCAAGUCCAACUCUCCUCUGUCUCAGAAUCAAUAACUAAAACAAAACAAAAGGCACAAGUAUAAGCAACAAACGGAAACUGCAGUGCAUUCUAUGAAAACAAAUCUUCUCAAAUUUGAAAGGAAACCAAAAGGCAAAUCCAUGAUCAAAGUACAAAAACUAAGUUCAAAAUACAUAGAAGUCCAUGAGCGGGUGUAACAUUCCCACAGACUUGCAAAUACUAUUCUGAAAUUGAAUUAUGAAACAAGAAACUACAACAAAUGGAAACCGCAGUGCAGUUUAUGAAAACAAAUCUGCUCAAGUGUGAAAAGAAAACUAAAGGAAAAGCCAUGAUCAAAGUACUAAAGCUAAGUUCAAAAGACAUUUAAGUCCAUGAGCAGUUGUAACAUUCUCAUAGACUUGCAAAAAAUUAUUCGAAAAUCGAAUUAUAAAACAAGAAACUGCACUGUAGUUUAUGCUCAAAAACUCCAACAAACGGAAUUUGCAAUGUAGUUUAUGAAUGCUCAAAGAACAAUUGACAACACACAAACAAUAUUACACAAAACAGUAAACAUAAUCUGCAAUGCAAAGUACACAAAAUGCCAGCAAUAUUACACAAAACAGUAGUGCAGAUUAAACAAAAAUCCAAUACAGUGCAAUAACUACACCUUGAUUCCCAUUCUUGCCAGAAGCACAAAAAAGAUGCCCCUUGUACUUGCUCUUAAAAAAUAUAGCAUCAGUGAACAACAAAGGGAUGCAAUAUUGAAAUCUAGCAAUUAAAUAGCCAAAUGAUACAAAAAAUGGGCUAAAUCGAUUAAUUCCAUCUUCACUCGCAUAGAGAACCACCGUUAGUUUCCUUAAAGGCAUCCAUGUACCACACUAACUCGUUGAAGGACUUCGACUCAUCACCAUGAACGUCCAGUUUUGCUAACUCUUAGAUACUGUAAUAAUCUUUGAACUCGUUUAUAGUCUCAACUAGUUCAGCUCUAGUUUUGCAUGAAUUAUGUCAACAAAGAGAGAGGACUCCACAUGAGACCUCAUCAUCUUAUUCUUUGAUUCUUGUAUCUGACCCGCACAUGUAUGCACAUUAUUUAAUGUCCGAAUUACAAAACAACCAGUAGCUUCACACCAAGACGCAUAAACAUGCCAACUACAACCCUCCAACUUCUUAUUUCAACAAACAUCAAUCACUUGCCUCUUGUCAUUGCCGGCAUAGAAAAAAUUAAAUCCUACUUCAAGAGCAUACUUGCACAAUUUUAACCGGAAGUCCUCUACACCACCAUCAAACUUCUGCCCUACAUGAUGUAUGUAGUCUCCCAUUCAUUUGACAACAAAGGCUUAGAACUGGCUCUCUUUGAUCUACCCAAAAAUUCAUUUCUGUCUUCAACAGUAUUAGAACACGAUGACUCACCCUUUUCACAUGCUAUCAACUCCUUAUUUCCACAAAAAUCACCAUUAUCCUCACUGCUCCCGCAUAAAUCCUUAACUAAAAUAUCCACACUCUUCGCAUUUGAUAUCGCCAAAUAUGCCAUCAUCAUGUCUAAAUCACUAUUCGUUUCUGGUAAACAACUCGAAUAACCGAGCAGCAAAUACCGUAACGUGAAAAUACCAUAACCAUGGAUGACUUUGCUGAAACUGAAAACAUAAUGGUUUCCAACUUCUAUGUGCACUUGGCUAUGCCACAAACCUCCAUUAGCCUUGAAAAUGCAAACAAAACAACAAACAAAAACAUAAAACAAUUUAAAUCAGUAAAUAACAUAGAUGAGCAAUUUUAACAUUCCCAUAGACUUGCAAAUAUUAGUCUGAAAUCGAAUUAUGAAACAAGACACUGCAAUGCAGUUUCUAGUAAAAAACUGCAACAAAUGGAAAUUGUAGUGAAGUUUAUGACAACAAAUCUGCUCAAGUAUAAAAAGAAACCAAAAGGCAAAGCCAUGAUAAAAGUACUAAAGCUAAGUUCAAAACACAAUUAAGUCCAUAAACAGUUGUAACAUUCUCACAGACUAGCAAAAAUUAUUUUGAAAUCGAAAUAUGGAAUAGGAAAAUACACUGCAGUUUCUGAUAAAAAAAAUGAAAUAAACGGAAACUGCAGUGCAGCUUAUGGGAAAACAUAUGCUCAAAUUUGAAUAAAAAUCAAAAGGAAAAUCCAUGAUAAAAGUACUAAAACUAAGUUCAAAACACAUUGAAGUCCAUAAGCAAUUGUAACAUUCCCAUAUACUUGCAAUGCAGUUUAUAAAACAAGAAACUCAAAAAUUGCAACAAACAGAAACGGCAAUGUAGUUUAUGGUAGAAAAUCAAAAAACUUCGAAUAGAAACCAGAAAGAAAAGCCACGAUCAAAGUACUAAAACUAAAUUCCGAAAACAUAUAAGUCGAUAUAAAUGAAAAAAGGUUCUCAAGUACUCAUACCUCAACACCUAGGACUGCCAAAAAUCUCCCCAACCAAAUAGCUGCUCAAAAUCAAAUCUGAUCACAAAACGAAGAAGAUACAAAAUGGCAUGCACAAAAUCGCGCCACAAAACUGAGCUCGAAAUAGGAGAACUAAGAUCGAACCAGAGCACAGAAAUCACACGCCAAAACAAACCUUGAUUCUGCAUGCAAAAGAAAAAUUACACCCAAAACAUAAAGAUCAAUCUAAAUAGCACAAAACAUAAUCAGAAUAAAACAGAAAAAUGAAGAAAAUCGAACAAAAACCUACCAGCAAAUUGAAGCUCCAAUCGCAGCUAAACGAACUAGAGCUCCAAAACGUCAAACUGAACGAAAACGAAAGAGAAAAGUUCAAAUCACGCGUAAUUUAAAUAGACAGGUGUAAAAAAGUCAUUUACUUUGCAAGUUUCAGAGUUAGGCCAGGCUUUUUAAGAAGAAAGGUAGCAUUGUCUUUUCAGUUAUUAUUUUAAGCUGGCCCAACGAAUCUGGACCUCAUCUUUGGCCUAGUCCAAAAUAACAAUUCUUUCCUAGGUAUUAACCUAAACAAAAAUACCCAAUAUCUCAAAUACUAAUUAGUAAAGUUACUUAUGUCUAAUACCUCAUUUUUCUUAAAAUAAAAUAAGUAGUUUGAUGUGUCUAGUUUUUGCUCACCAUUCGUUAUAUCAACUACAAAUAGCCUUAAUGCUUAACAAUUGAAAAACAUUGACAAUAUAUAUAUAUAUAUAUAUCAAUAAAAUAAUGAAAAAAAGAUUGGGGAUAAUUAUUGGAUAAAGUAAAAGUUGAAUGGGAGUAUUUUUGCUCAUCACUUUAACUCAGUUGUAAUCUUAUCAUCCUUCUCAACACUUGACACGUGUCUAUUAACAUAGCCAUGGUUCCAUAAAUACAAAGUAAAGAGUUAACUAUGGUUAUGCCAAUAGACAUGUGUCAAGCGUUGAGAAGGUUGGUGAAGGUACACUUUAAGUUAAAGUGAUAAGGAAAAAGCAUUUUGAGUCCGAGCAAUACAUGAAUAGUUGUAUUUUAGAGAGUAGAAAUUUGAGUUUAGCCCCCAUCAUGGUCGGAGAUGACCUUACUUGUCUUCUCCGCACAUAUUGUGAUCAUUAAUAAAUGUGUUUCAUGUGUUUCGUGAGUUUCAUGAUGAGCAAGCACCUGCUACCACUUAAAGUUAUAAUAUAAAAUAUCAGGCAAUUUUACUGUAAUGACUUGUAUUUAAGGAGAAGCCAAGUUAUACGUUGUUUAACAUUCUGCCUUAUACAUAUCAAAUUUCAAAACUGAUAAGCAUAAGCAUGGCUCUGCACGGUUUUAUUGGGACUCAAAUAGAGCUCAAGUCACCUGCUGAUAAGUUCUACAAAAUCUUCAAGGGUCAAGCCCACCUCAUCCCAAAUGUUUCUUCUGGCCAUAUCAAAGGUGUUCAGGUGCAUGAAGGAGAUUGGGAAACGCACGGCUCUGUUAAGAUCUGGAAUUAUCAUCUAGGUAAUUAAGUAACUAUAUGGUGAACCCACUUUGGACAAGUUUAAUU
rnacentral:lncRNA from 1 species